GUCUAUGGCCAUGCUACCCUGAACAAGCCUGAUCCCGUCUGAUCUCAGAAGCUAAGCAGGGUUGGGCCUGGUUAGUACUUGGAUGGGAGACCACCUACGAAGACCAAGUAAAGAAA
rnacentral:rRNA from 1 species